rnacentral:rRNA from 1 species
AGAAUUGAUCUGGUUCAGGACGAACGCUGGCGGCGUGCCUAACACAUGCAAGUCGAACGAAGCAUUUCCGUUGAGAUUCGUCAAGAACGGGACUUGACUUAGUGGCGGACGGGUGAGUAAUGCGUGAGCAACCUGCCCUUCAGAGGGGGACAACAGUUGGAAACGACUGCUAAUACCGCAUGAUGUAACCGGGAGGCAUCUCCUGGUUACCAAAGAUUUUAUCGCUGAAGGAUGGGCUCACGUCUGAUUAGUUAGUUGGUGGGGUAACGGCCUACCAAGACAGCGAUCAGUAGCCGGACUGAGAGGUUGAACGGCCACAUUGGGACUGAGAUACGGCCCAGACUCCUACGGGAGGCAGCAGUGGGGAAUAUUGGGCAAUGGGCGCCAAGCCUGACCCAGCAACGCCGCGUGAAGGAAGAAGGCCUUCGGGUUGUAAACUUCUUUUAUGAGGGACGAAGGACGUGACGGUACCUCAUGAAUAAGCCACGGCUAACUACGUGCCAGCCGCCGC